UUGAAAGGCCAUGAAAUCUGAUUAAAAACGACUAUAAAAAUUCAAUAUAAUUUCCUCUUUUUCAAAGAAGUAUUGUUCUCACAAAAAUAUUUGAUAAGGUUCGUGAGUAACUGUAAUCCAUUAAGGUCUCGAAAAGUAGCUGGAGACAACGUUUCCGAGUCCAGCAGCAGCUGAUGAGACUACAUUUUGAAACGGUCUAUUUUGAACUUGAAAGCCUGGAUUGUACUGCUGAUAUUGCUGCUGAUUGCCAUAAUUCUGGGGAAUGAAUCCUGGUGCGUAUCCCCCUUGAAAGUUUCCACCUUGACCAACCUGGCCAUGACUACCAUGGCCAUGACCCCCAUGACUUUGACCUCCGUGACCAUGACUACCGUGGCCAUGACCUCCGUGACCAUGGCCUCCGUGCCCUUGGUUUCCAUACUGGGGAUACACAGGCGCAACAGGUGCGGGAAAUCCUCCGCAACCAAAGAAAUAAUUCGUGACCGGAGCAGAUAUAUACGUGCUAGUGUAAUCUUGGGAGCCAAACUUUUCACCCAAAGUUCGUCCGAAACAUGGGUUGCUCUGAUGCUUUUUUUUCUUUCUGUGUUUUCUUCCAAUAUCGUCAUAGUCAUCCAGGCCUAUAUCUUUAGAAGCCGGACUGUCAUCCGAGAAAACAAUGACACAGCACUGCAGAAGAAGAAAUAUAAUCGUCGAUUUCUAAAAACAUAAAAAUAAGUCAAAUCCCAAAUGUAUCACUUAAACAUACAUAAAUUAUGAAGCACGAAAAUUACACAUUUAAAUGAGACGUACAAAUAUCUGUGUGAAUUCCGCCGAAAAGACGUGUCCAAUAGGACAAUAGUCGUUUCAAGGAUUAACUGUUGACGAACAGUUGUCAUAUUUAUAAAUUUAUUACGUCGUAAUGAAACGUAAAAAGAGACACUCACCAUUUUGCCGGCUACCGCUGGAUGUGGUCACAAAGACACUAGUGUAUCAUAUUGGGGGGUUCUCAACCGAAAGUGAAAGCGUUGAUCCUACGCAGAAGUAACGCAACAUAAUAUUACAAUAUGGGGAAUUUUAUUAAGCAACGUAACCUCAAGGCCGAGACAUAGCUUCGUUGAAAUAAUAAACUUACGUAUUAUUUAAGGCUUAAACUCUGAUUCUAUUUACUCGAAAGUACACAAUAUUGCCGCUUUGUAUAUCGAAGCGUAAAUAAAUAUCGAUAGAAACUUCUUUCAAUAAGUUGCAUAUAACUUUAAUGUGUAUUUCAUUAAAUGAUUUAUACAUUUUUUAUAUGUACAACUGCUGAUAACAGCUGCUUGAAUCAGAUGUUGAUCUAUUGUACUUACUGUGUGAGUACGAUAUAUCUAUAGCAAUUAAUUCAAUUAAGUAUUUACGUAUAAUUUUGUUUUUGCAAUCAUCUUAAACUACAAAGUAAUUAUAGUAGCAUUUUCUCGCUGUAUUGCGAUACAACAAUAUCGAAGUUGAAGGAAAGACUUAUAUUUUAGCAAUUUAUAUUCUUCUUGUGCUUUCUUAAUGAUCAGUUUAAUCCGUAGUUGUUGUAUUAUUCUGAACAUUUAACAGUUGUCAAAUUUAAACGGACUUAAUAUUAUUGAACAUUAUCAUUUGUUAGCUUGUAAAUUCUUCAUGAAUUAAUUAAAAAAUCAAUAUCUAAUCUAUUGAACCUUAGCGUCGAAUGUAAUUAAAUAAAUAUGUUUCCAGCAAUUCAAUUUAUUCGUCUUGCAGGAAAUCACCCAAUUUCACGUGUCGUAAAACGGAUAUUUGCAUAAUACAUUUGUAAAUAAAGCCGUUGCGCCGAUAGGAGUAUAUCAGUCUAACCCGUACUAAUAGCGUGUCUGUGUGUGUCAAUGAACUUUUCCAAUGUUGGGUCUGUUUCCACAAAAUGUUUUAGUUAGCUAAGAUUGUGGAACCAGCUACCCAAGGUAUUUCCGAACCAAUUCGACUUAGGGUCCUUCGAAAAAUGAACGUACUAAUAAAAAGCGAGCAACGCACUCGCAAACCCUCUGGGAUGGAGAGUGUCGUAGGGCAGCGUAAUCACUUAACAUCAAAUGAGCGUCCUGCCCGCCUAUUUGUACGUCUCAUUUAAAUGUGUAAUUUUCGUGCUUCAUAAUUUAUGUAUGUUUAAGUGAUACAUUUGGGAUUUGACUUAUUUUUAUGUUUUUAGAAAUCGACGAUUAUAUUUCUUCUUCUGCAGUGCUGUGUCAUUGUUAUAUAAAAAAAAAUGAAGACCAGCAGCCCUAUCGUGACAAAUAUUGGUAUGAACAUAUGCCCAAUGUCAGUGAUUCGUUACUAGGAUAGUUUUCAGGAUACUCUCUGAAAUGCCUUCACAAAGAUCAAACCACCAACUUUUCUGCAUGUCAACAUAAAAAAAAUUAUAUUAAAUAUUUCGGUUUUACGUACGAAAUUAUAUCUCUGAUUUAGGCUGCGCCUUUCAAAGAUUUCAAAUAAUAAUGCCUGUAAAAUAAGCAUACAAUACAUACCAUUCGCUGA